rnacentral:rRNA from 1 species
ACGGAGGGAGCUAGCGUUGUUCGGAUAUACUGGGCGUAAAGCGCACGUAGGCGGCGUCGUAAGUCAGGGGUGAAAUCCUGGAGCUCAACCCCGGAACUGCCUUUGAAACUGCAAUGCUAGAAUCCUGGAGAGGCGAGUGGAAUUCCGAGUGUAGAGGUGAAAUUCGUAGAUAUUCGGAAGAACACCAGUGGCGAAGGCGACUCGCUGGACAGGUAUUGACGCUGAGGUGCGAAAGCGUGGGGAGCAAACAGGA